UAGCCGUAAACGAUACUCGCUAGGUGUCGGCCACGGUGCGACCGUUGUCGGUGCCGUAGGGAAGCCGUGAAGCGAGCCACCUGGGAAGUACGGCCGCAAGGCUGAAACUUAAAGGAAUUGGCGGGGGAGCACAACAACGGGUGGAGCUUGCGGUUUAAUUGGAUUCAACGCCGGAAAUCUUACCGGGACCGACAGCAACAUGAAGGUCAAGCUGAAGACUUUGCCGGAUUAGCUGAGAGGAGGUGCAUGGCGUAGUCGUGU
rnacentral:rRNA from 1 species